AACUCUUCAAGGUUUUAAAAAUAACCUGUUUAUAUAUAUCUUUAUAAGUUAUUAUAUGUAACAUUUAUAAACAUAUAGAAAAGGUCUGAGCUUAACCACACCACCCUGUUAAAAGUAGUUACUUUUGAGGAAAGAAGUGGGGAGAAGACUUAGAUUGGGAUGAGGCAGGGGGAGGGUAUGAAUAGAGAUGUUCCUUUUUUACUUAGGUACUUCUGUACCAUUUGACUUUUUUAUAAUAGGCAUUCAUCAUUGCUAUUUUUUUAAUUAAAUGGAAAGAAAUCACACUCCUUCUCAUUCCCCUGAAAUUCUGAUGUGCUCCUUAGAGUAUGAACCCUGGCACUCCUGGUAAAAACCGUUGUCCAAGGGGGAGUGUACAUGAUAAUCUUCAUUACUGGCACAAAAAACAGCAAUUUGUGUGGUCCAGGGAAGCAGCAGGUGUAAUAGGAAAAUCGUUACUGUGGGAGCCAGGAGACCUGAGAUCAGGUCUUGACUCUGCCCCAGCUCACUGUGUGACUUUGGACAAGUGCCGUGCCCCCUCUGGGCUUGAGCGUCUCCUUGCAUUCAGUGAAUACAUGGGACUCAUCAAUUCACUUGACUGAUAGCUCCAGAAGGAUGGGGCCCUGCCUGUCUUAUUCACUGAUAUGUAUCCUGGUGGCUUGCACAGCUCCAGAUGCUCAGUAGCCACUCACUAAAUAUCUAAAAUGAAUUAGUGAAUGGUUUUCAGGUCUCUCCAGAGAAACGAGUGGCACAGUGGGCAUCGUUGGGCCUUGGCCCUUACCAUUUCUGCCAGGGCCCCUACUGUACAUCUUUCCAUUCAGCCUUGUGCCUGUCUUGCUCUCUCCCCAGAAUAUACUCUGAACUCUACAAGGCCCUGUUUCCCGUGCUCUCUCCACAGGGUCAACAAGCCCUUUCUGGGCCAUGGGGAUGCAGUGAUGCAGCACCGGAGGCCAGCACCUGCACUUGGCUCUGGGACCACACCCACUGGAGGAGGUUUUGCUUCUGGAAAAUAAGAUUCAGGACCCUGCCCAGUUUCCACUCAUCCUUUAUAGGGGGAUGUUCGUGAUCACCACCCUGUGCAUAAGCCUCAGGCCUUGGCUACCUCAAGUUUGGGGUCACCACCCAGGCAAGCAUCACCCUCAACCUCCCCAACUGUUGGUGAGUGAGAUCAGGCCUCAAGUCAGAAGGAUGCCAUGCAGGUGGGGCUGGCUUGGCUUCCGCUUAUCAGAGGAGAGUAGCAAGGUAUGAAUGAGGAUCGUCUCCAGCAUGGAGAAGAGAUGCCAGGAAACUGAACUGUGGAAAGAGGUAGACCGGAUAAAUCAGGAGACCUGGAUUCUUGUCCAACAUGGCCAAUUAAUUCUCCUGUGUUCUGGGCAAGAUAUUUCUCCUCUCUAUACUUCAGUUUCCCAAAGAAAGGGAUUAGACCAAAUGGUUUCUGAGUGCCUUCCCAACUUUGACUGAUGUGUUAGUCAGUUCUCUCAUUUGCAAGUGACUGAAAACCAAUCCAAACUGGCCCAAGUUUUAAAACAAAAAGCAGACAGAAGUCCUUGCACAUAUCUGACUUCAGGCAUGGCUGGAUCCAGCUACUUAAAUGGUAUCAUCAGGACUCAGUCUGUCUCUAUCUCCUAGGUUUAUUUUUCUCUGGGUGGGCUUUAUUCAAGUAGACUUCACACGCACACAGUGGCAGAUAACUGCUGGCAGCCUCUCAGUUACCGGCCCUUCUCUCAUCAACCUUGAUGUAAAGAGAGUUUCUCUUUUCCAAAAGGCCCAUUGAAAGCCUUGGGAUUAAUUCUAAUCCCCACAGCUUGGGUCACAUGUCCAUUCUGAACCAGUCCUAUGGCCAGCAGAUGAAGUAUGCUGAUUGGCUGGGCCUAAAUCACAUGCCUUAGUGGGAUGGGGUCAGGAGUUCCCUGAACCUAGCGAGCUGAGAGUGAGGACAGGGUGACUUCAGGUUAACUGAAGAGGUAAUGGUUGCUGGGUCAAUUAAUCCAACCAAGGUCCCUUAGAACAUAU
rnacentral:lncRNA from 1 species